rnacentral:tRNA from 1 species
CAGGGAGACAACAAAAUGUUAAAUAUUAAUUUUGUCACUUAGGUCGAUCGGUAUCUCACAUUCUUAAUUUAUUAAGAAUUUUAUUUCCUAAGUUUUUUCUAGGUCACACCCAUUACUUUUCCUGGGCCAUUAGCUCAGGUGGUUAGAGCGCACCCCUGAUAAGGGUGAGGUCCCUGGUUCAAGUCCAGGAUGGCCCAUAUCUCUAUGUUGGGGGUAUAGCUCAGUUGGUAGAGCGCCUGCUUUGCAAGCAGGAUGUCAGCGGUUCGAGUCCGCUUACCUCCACUGAUUACCACCUCUUCCAUAUUUUUAAGAAGGAAAAUGUUUUGAGUUAUGAUCAAAUUCUGAACGAAUCUAGCUUCCUAAAUAAUCUUAUUAAGAUGCUGGACUCAUUGAAUUAAAUUCAUUGUUUUCAGAGAACCUUGACAACUGCAUAGAUUAUUUUUAAAGACAAUAAGCAUCUUUAAUGAUGCAGAUUUAUUAUUUGUGCGAAUGCAUUAAUAACAAUUCUAUUAAGCUGAUGCUUCAA